GCUGCGUUAGCUCAACCGGUAGAGCAUCCGGCUCAUAACCGGGUAGUUGCAAAUUCGAUUCCUGCACGCGGCG
rnacentral:tRNA from 1 species